rnacentral:rRNA from 1 species
UACGGAGGAUGCGAGCGUUAUCCGGAUUUAUUGGGUUUAAAGGGUGCGUAGGCGGACGCUUAAGUCAGCGGUCAAAUCGCGGGGCUCAACCCCGCCCAGCCGUCGGAACUGCCGGGCUAGAGUGGGCGAGAAGUGCGCGGAAUGCGUGGUGUAGCGGUGAAAUGCAUAGAUAUCACGCAGAACUCCGAUUGCGAAGGCAGCGCACCGGCGCCCUACUGACGCUCAGGCACGAAAGCGUGGGUAUCGAACAGG